GCAAACUUGGUCAUUUAGAGGAAGUAAAAGUCGUAACAAGGUUUCCGUAGGUGAACCUGCGGAAGGAUCAUUACCGAAAUAACUUUGCACCCUCUUGUAGUGGGCCAUGGGUUUGGCUUGAUCAGAUCAGACCAUGCCUGGACCGCUUGGUCUGCUACGCCUUUCAACAAUCAAACCCCGUCAUUGUAUGUCAAACAUGUAAAAUGUGAAUAUAACUUUCAACAACGGAUCUCUUGGCUCUCGCAUCGAUGAAGAACGCAGC
rnacentral:misc_RNA from 1 species